rnacentral:rRNA from 1 species
AUUGAACGCUAGCGGGAGGCCUAACACAUGCAAGCCGAGCGGUAUUGUUUCUUCGGAAGUGAGAGAGCGGCGUACGGGUGCGGAACACGUGUGCAACCUGCCUUUAUCUGGAGGAUAGCCUUUCGAAAGGAAGAUUAAUACUCCAUAAUAUAUUAAUUGGCAUCAAUCGAUAUUGAAAACUCCGGUGGAUAGAGAUGGGCACGCGCAAGAUCAGCUAGUUGGUGAGGUAACGGCUCACCAAGGCAAUGAUCUUUAGGGGGCCUGAGAGGGUGAUCCCCCACACUGGUACUGAGACACGGACCAGACUCCUACGGGAGGCAGCAGUGAGGAAUAUUGGUCAAUGGGUGCAAGCCUGAACCAGCCAUCCCGCGUGAAGGAUUAAGGUCCUAUGGAUUGUAAACUUCUUUUGUAUAGGGAUAAACCUACCCUCGUGAGGGUAGCUGAAGGUACUAUACGAAUAAGCACCGGCUAACUCCGUGCCAGCCGCCGCAGUAAGAC